CCUACGGGAGGCAGCAGUAGGGAAUCUUUCACAAUGGGCGAAAGCCUGAUGGAGCAACGCCGCGUGCAGGAUGAAGGCCUUCGGGUUGUAAACUGCUUUUAUAAGCGAGCAAUAUGAUGGUAACUUAUGAAUAAGGAUCGGCUAACUACGUGCCAGCAGCCGCGGUCAUACGUAGGAUCCGAGCAUUAUCCGGAGUGACUGGGUGUAAAGAGUUGCGUAGGUGGCAUAAUAAGUAGCUAGUGAAAUCUGGUGGCUCAACCAUUCAGACUAUUAGCUAAACUGUUAAGCUCGAGACCGUUAGGGGUAACUGGAAUUUCUAGUGUAGGAGUGAAAUCCGUAGAUAUUAGAAGGAACACCAAUAGCGUAGGCAGGUUGCUGGGACGGUUCUGACACUAAGGCACGAAAGCGUAGGGAGCAAACGGGAUUAGAUACCCGUGUAGUC
rnacentral:rRNA from 1 species